ACCAAGACGACCAGCCCAGGGAUGGCAC
rnacentral:misc_RNA from 1 species